rnacentral:rRNA from 1 species
UUUUGCGCAGCUUAGGUGGGAGGCUAUGAACCUUUUCUUCUGGGAAGAGGGGAGCCAUCAGUGAGAUACCACUCUUGGUAAGCUAGAGCGCUCAGUCUUCACCGUCAUCCGGUAAGACGACAGUUUCAGGCGGGCAGUUUGACUGGGGCAGUCACCUCCCAAAAGGUAAUGGAGGUGUGCAAAGGUUCCCUCAGGCUGGACGGAAAUCAGCCAUAGAGUGUAAAAGCAUAAGGGAGCUUGACUGCGAGACUGACAUGUCAAGCAGAGACGAAAGUCGGCUUUAGUGAUCCGACGGUGCUGUGUGGAAAGGCCGUCGCUCAACGGAUAAAAGUUACUCUAGGGAUAACA